rnacentral:hammerhead_ribozyme from 1 species
GUAUUGAUGAGUAGUCCCAAACUAGGACGAAACAGCUGUCCAGUAC